UACGUUCCCGGGCCUUGUACACACCGCCCGUCAAGUCACGAAAGUUGGUUUUACCCGAAGCCGGUGCGCUAACUUCGGAGGCAGCCGUCCACGGUAAGGUCAGCGACUGGGGUG
rnacentral:rRNA from 1 species